UGUGGACACAUUGGUCAUGAUAGAAGACAAUGCCCAGCCUUGAACACACCGACAUCACCGUCGACCAACGACGAAUCAACUCCAAUACAUCGUAGUGACCCAUUAUUCGACGAUUUUGACAGGAUGCACGGACCAACUGAAUGAUUUAUAUUUGUAUUACACGAAAUGUGGUUGUUAUGAAGAUUAAUGACAUGUUAUUGAUGUUUAAAGAUUCAGUUUUUGAA